GCACUGCAUUUUUUCUAGCUUACGCAGAAAAUACAGCUUGAGUUAUACCAAUUAGCCUCCGAGCUAACCCAGAAGCUAACUCUCCAAGGGCAAGUACCAACGACAUUUCUUUCUGUGUGGAAGGAUAACUUGGACUUGAAACACUACAGUGGACAUUUUUGGACUGUUUUGAGACUUUUCUAGGGUUAGAAAACUGGAGUCUUUAACAGCCGCACAAACACGUCAGCGCGUCCGCCAUCUUUGGUGAAGUCAACAAUGGGCAGUAAAUCAAGGGAAAUGAGCAGAGAAGCUGCCGUAAUUACUGCAAUAAAAGUCAUUUGGGCUAUUUAAAUAUAUAAACAAAUAUCUUUCUGUGUCCAGCCUUUGAAUAUCUAUGUGAGUCGAAUAGUUUCUAGAAAAACAUACAACAGAUGAGUGGAAACAAAGAAGAGACUUCACACAGAUCACUGGAUGUUUACUGGACGCUGCGCUGUUUCCAGCUUUUCCCCUGGAGUUAUUUUUGAUGGAAAGCUUCGAGACCAAUGGACGGAGCAGGUUCGGAGAACUAGAGGCAGCUGGACUCCCACUCCGUCUUCUGUUCUCUGCAGCGAGCAUUUCCCUGCAGGCUGCUUCGAGGAGGCGCCCGGAUUAAAGGAGUCUUUCGGUUUGAAAGUACGUUACAAACGGGUUAUAAAACCGACUGCUGUCCCGUCGAUUUUUGAGAUAAUACCCACAUCUGACGACGAUACCAGCAGAUCCAAACAGCACAGAGAAGCUCCAGUUCCCAGACACUCCCGGAAAAGAGUCUUCCACAGCAGUAUGUCUGCUAAUCAAGCUGCCAUAACGUCAAAGAGGAGCUCCUUUCUUGAUCAAAAGGUCGAAAUAAAAGGGGAAGAGGAGGAACUAGAACCGAAGAAGAUCACUGAGACUAAAGAGGAACAAGAACCAACCAAAGAACACGGUGAACUGUGGAUCUAUGAGGAUGAAGGUCAGAUGGAGACUUGUGAAAACAUAUCCCACAAUGUACCAGAACAGCAGCAGAUUGUAGCAAUGAAGAUGGAACCAGAACCAGAACCCGUGGAGAUUAAAGUGGAACCAUCUCUGUACUGCUGUACAGAUAGUAGUGGAACUAGAACCUUUAGAAGAGGAAUCAGAACCUGUAUUGAAGAAAUGGAAAGGUCUUUCCAGUAAUGCUCAAACCCCAACGGUGUCUGAUGCUUGUAAGCAAAGAGUCAAGAGGAAAUACAAACCAAAAGAAAAGAGCUCCUCUCUGCACAAGGCAGCAAACUUAAGAAACAACAGCAGGCGAAGAGGAACCAGAAACCAUCUGGAGCAAAUGAAAGGCUGAAGCCAGGGGACAUCAGAUCGCCCCUUAACAAGGUUGUUUGUUUUUGAUCUCAACUGAAUCCAACAAAAAGUUUUAUAGUGUAGAGGAAGCAUUUCCGAUGACCUGUGAAGACUCUGGGACAGACGUGUGUCCAGGGUUCCUCGUCUGAAGAUGAGGACCUCGUUCUUCCGGUCCGUCGACCUGAGAGUGAUGACAGAGGUGAUGACGGAGACGAUGAGCCACAGAGAAAAGUCUUGAGGAGGAAUACCAACAGAAGAGAAGAAGAAAAUCCCAAAAAGCUGCUGGUGACGGUGCAACAGUUUGGCAUGGCAAAGAUGAAGAGGAUCAUCAUCAACACCACUUCAGUUUUAACCCAACAAGAAAACCAGGCCUCACCUUGGACCAGGAAAUAUCCUGGACCCACUCUCUCUGUUUCAUUUGUUUUUCAGUGCUUCUGUGAAACACUCAUUGACAGUAAAAAUGCUAACGCUGCCAAAAAUUGGAGAGAAGGACUUCUAUGUUUUCCUGGCAGUUAUUUGUUUUCACAGGCCUUGUAACUGCGCUACAGGUUAGACUACUGGAAGCAAGACUGGAGCAUGUCGAGUUAAUUCUCUGGCUGCUGCACAUUAGCAAUCCAAAGGACGAUUAAGAGAACGAGAAGAAGAACGGCACGUCACAUUACGACCGUCUAUUCAAAAUCAAACCCCUCUACAACCAGAUUGUAAGGAUGUAAACAUUUAGACUCAUAAAUGUGAAAUGUUUUGAUGUAAAAGGUUUUUGCACUUUAAUUAGGCUCCAGUUGGAGUCAAACAAAGCAGCUUAUUGAUUAAAACUAAGUUUGUAGUUUGCAAAAAAUAUUCACAAACAAUCCAUUUUUGUUGUGUGAAAAACAAAAAGAAGAGAAAUCUCCACUUUUCUAAACGAUGCUGAAAUGGCCAAACGUUUAAGUAUGUCUACGUAAAAAGUUAACUUUGUGUUUUGGUUUAUCUCGGCUCCUUUCAUUUUGCACAGGAAUCCAACAGUUUGUAUUCUUGUUAAUCAUACUUUAAAAGGUUUAUGUAGCAUUUAAUGUUGAGAAACCCAUUGAAGGAGGAAAGUAUAUUUUUGUCCAUGUUUCUUAUCUUUUAUAAUAUAUAUUGAGUAUUAUAACAUGAUACCAAAAUUAUUUUAGAGUUUGUAAGGUAUUUGCACAUGAUGCAUCUUGUUGGUGUUUGAAGAGCAUUAAUAAAUCCAAACUGUUAUUCUGAUGAUCCUUUACUGUCAUUGUUUUCCUGUCAGACGUUGAACUGGUUUAGACCACGCAGGUUUCCUGGUUCUGAUCCACUCUGCAUCCCCAGAAUCAAACC